rnacentral:rRNA from 1 species
AGCAGCCGCGGUAAUUCCAGCUCCAAUAGCGUAUAUUAAAGUUGUUGCAGUUAAAAGCUCGUAGUUGAAUUUCGGGGUUCAUACGUUGGUCGGGCUUUUUGGUCUGUACUGGCGUAAUGGAUUCCUACCUUCUGAAUAACCGGCAUGCCAUUAAUUUGGUGCGCCGGGGAAGCAGGACUGUUACCUUGAAAAAAUUAGAGUGCUUAAAGCAGGCUAUCGCCUGAAUACAUUAGCAUGGAAUAAUGAAAUAGGGCGGCAUGGUUCUAUUUUGUUGGUUUCUAGGAUCACCGUAAUGAUUAAUAGGGAUAGUUGGGGGCAUUAGUAUUCAAUUGUCAGAGGUGAAAUUCUUGGAUUUAUUGAAGACUAACUUCUGCGAAAGCAUUUGCCAAGGAUGUUUUCAUUAAUCAAGAACGAAAGUUAGGGGAUCGAAGACGAUCAGAUACCGUCGUAGUCUUAACCAUAAACUAUGCCGACUAGGGAUCGGACGAUGUUAAUUUUUUAAUGACUCGUUCGGCGCCUU